CCUUAUCCUAAACCAUGGGUGAUACUAUCAUAUGCCCUCUACUUACCAGUCCAAGAAACUCCUAACAUUCCUGUAACAUUUUACACUCAGCCUGUCUGCAGCCAUUAAAUUGCUCCCUCGAUCGAUCCUAAGGUUCCAAGCCCUCUUAUUCUAUCGGAACUCCACAUCGAUCAUUUAUAUUCAGAUAUAAAACCAUAUAGUUUUUGUUCGUCAUCGAUUUAUAUAGCUCAAUUGCAGUUCUAGCUACUAGCUAAAAGCAGUUCUAUUUCUAGAGAGAGAUCGUUAUGCCGGGUUGGGGACCCCCGCCAGGAGGACCUCCGGGACCUCCAGGGCCGUGCGGUUGCUGUUGGUUUUGUUGCGAUGGCAUAAGCAGGCUCUUAUCUUCAUGUUGCUAUCUACUGUUUUGCUGUUGCAUCUUUGAGAGCUGCUGUGGACCUGUGUUUGGAGGGCCUCCGCCAGGACCUCAUGGCCACCACGGCGGGCCUCCUCCUCCCUUUUGAUAAACAAAUUCUCGAUUAUAUAUUGUGUGGUUUUUUUAAGCGUCUGGAUCAUCAGCUUGGAGAUGAUAGUGUGUUUUUCUUGGGUGUGUUGAUGAGUCAUGUAUUUUUCAUGGUUUAUUCUUUUAAAAUUUGCUCGAUCAGCUUCUCUAGAUCGUGCGGUGUAUAAAUGUUUCUCUAUGACUGAAAAAUAAUUUCAUGAAUCAAUAAAUUUCAUUACAUCAAGAGUUUC